CAGCAGAAGCCGGAGGCCGCCCAUAUCGCCAAGAACCCGAGGUACAGCCACGGGAGAGGCUGAUAGGCGCUGCUCAACACCGGGAGAGGAGACGAAGCGUCCUGCAUCAUCCUCUUCUUCUUCUUCUUCUUCUUGUUGCACAGGACCAGAAGCUCAUGGAGCAGUAGCCUGGAUAUAAAAACAGACUUGACUUUGUUAUUUUUUCCCUUCUCUUUUGUGCAUGUCUUGGACAGACGGUUCUAGUAUUAGGUCUGGCAUUUUUUUUGGGGGAAGUUCGUGCAUGUGGCCGCUUUUUUUUCUCACCAGAAGCGUUAUGGGGGAGUGUAGGAGUAGUUAGGGUUGUUGCUUGUUGGAGGGAAAAUACGGGAGGCAAACGUGUUUCUUGAUGAAUUUAAAAGGUGACGAAGAAACUUUUUAAAUUUAUGGUGAGUCUCUUCUCGUGUU